rnacentral:rRNA from 1 species
UACAGAGGGUGCAAGCGUUAAUCGGAAUUACUGGGCGUAAAGCGUGCGUAGACGGUUAUGUAAGUCAGAUGUGAAAGCCCCGGGCUCAACCUGGGAAUUGCAUUUGAGACUGCAUAGCUAGGGUGCGGAAGAGGGAAGCGGAAUUUCCGGUGUAGCGGUGAAAUGCGUAGAUAUCGGAAGGAACACCAGUGGCGAAGGCGACUACCUGGCCCAUUCUUGACGCUGAGGCGCGAAAGCUAGGGGAGCGAACGGG